rnacentral:rRNA from 1 species
GACGAACGCUGGCGGCGUGCUUAACACAUGCAAGUCGAACGGUGAAGCUCCAGCUUGCUGGAGUGGAUCAGUGGCGAACGGGUGAGUAACACGUGAGCAACCUGCCCCUGACUCUGGAAUAAGCGCUGGAAACGGCGUCUAAUACUGGAUACGAGAAGGGUCCGCAUGGGCACUUUCUGGAAAGUUUUUCGGUUGGGGAUGGGCUCGCGGCCUCUCAGCUUGUUGGUGAGGUAAUGGCUCACCAAGGCGACGACGGGUAGCCGGCCUGAGAGGGCGACCGGCCACACUGGGACUGAGACACGGCCCAGACUCCUACGGGAGGCAGCAGUGGGGAAUAUUGCACAAUGGGCGAAAGCCUGAUGCAGCGACGCCGCGUGAGGGAUGACGGCCUUCGGGUUGUAAACCGCUUUCAGCAGGGAAGAAGCGAAAGUGACGGUACCUGCAGAAGAAGCACCGGCUAACUACGUG